AUGCUGAUGGAAAGAAUGCUGGUGCUUCAGAGUCCUGGGGCAACCUUGAGAAGCUGCAGAGGAGUGGACGACCACGAGCUGGGGCUUGUUUUAGAUGCUCCUUCUCUUCAAAUUUCGUGCUCAUCAAAGUACAUAUUUUUCUGCACUGUAUCAAAGAAUCCUUUGUUUAAUAGAAGACACAGAAUAAUUCGGUAUGGACCUUUGUCUGAGGUGAGUUGGGGCUCUCAAAUACAGAUGACGGGAAAGGAAACAAUAACCCUGCACAUUUUAUGAAACGAUGUGCUAGCAAUCCUGGAAUGAACAUAAAAUCAUAUUUGAUUUCACGCUGUGAGAACGCCAAUGUAGUGGUUAAAUUGCAAAGAUUACUGGAGAAGUUUUGUCUUCCUCCUGCUCCUCUCUAAUUCCAAAUCCCCUCAGCUGCUCUGCCCGUUCCUUCUGCCCCAGAUAGCACUACUGAGGGAAAAGGGCGUUUAAAAUGCUGCAUAAUGUUCACACCAACUCGGCCAGACUCCUUUCAGUGUCAUUCUUUAUAUAAUACGAUAAAUAAUAUUCUUCUCAUGAUUCAUUCCAGAGACAUUGACGAACUCCACACAAUGAAAUGCCUAGACAGACAGUAACAUAGGGACACAGGAAGUACUAAUUUGCAGUCUCCUGUACAACUAAGACUGGACAAAUGUCACAGAGGACGGGAAUGACCUUGGUGGUGGUCAAUAGGGGGACCGCCUUAUAACCAUUUAUUAAGCUCUGCCCGUAUUUUGGUGCAUAUUUUCAAAUUUAUUUUGCGUAUGUUUUUAAAGCAUUUGUAAUAUAUAAAUAUUGUUUUAUGUAAAAACCCCAACAGAACCUGUCUCAGACCUGGUCAGUAUCAGGAUUCAAGUUACUGGGAGUUGUUCACUUGGUGAAUUUAGAAAAUCAGAUGGCAAUUAUUUGUUCUCUGGCCAGAGUUUCAUUUGUCAUCUGAGACAGAGAGGCUGCAUGGGGCUCACUCCAUUUGGCCCAAACAGAAGUCUGCAGUCUCUUGUCAAAUAAAUGUCUUUAUGUUGUUGCA
rnacentral:lncRNA from 1 species